CCUACGGGAGGCAGCAGUAAGGAAUCUUGCGCAAUGGGCGAAAGCCUGACGCAGCGACGCCGCGUGGGCGAUGAAGGCCUUCGGGUUGUAAAGCCCUUUUCUGGGGGACGAGGAAGGACGGUACCCCAGGAAUAAGUCACGGCUAACUACGUGCCAGCAGCCGCGGUAAAACGUAGGUGGCGAGCGUUGCCCGGAUUCACUGGGUGUAAAGGGUGUGUAGGCGGACUGGAAAGUCCAAGGUGAAAGCCCUCGGCUCAACUGAGAAAUUGCCUUGGAUACUGCCAGCCUAGAGGACGGGAGAGGGGAGGGGAACCCCCGGUGUAGCGGUAGAAUGCGUGGAUAUCGGGAGGAACGCCAAUAGCGAAGGCGGCUCCCGGGAACGUUACUGACGCUGAAACACGAAAGCGGGGGGAGCAAACAGGAUUAG
rnacentral:rRNA from 1 species